rnacentral:rRNA from 1 species
UACGGGGGGUGCAAGCGUUGUUCGGAUUUACUGGGCGUAAAGGGCGCGUAGGUGGCCACUGCAAGUUGACUGUGAAAUCUCCGGGCUUAACCCGGAAAGGUCAGCCGAUACUGCGGGGCUAGAGUGCAGAAGGGGCAACUGGAAUUCUCGGUGUAGCGGUGAAAUGCGUAGAUAUCGAGAGGAACACCUGCGGCGAAGGCGGGUUGCUGGGCUGACACUGACGCUGAUGUGCGAAAGCUAGGGGAGCGAACGGG